UAAUGAUAGAGAAACUCUCUCACUCGCGAAAAAUAUAUGCGAGUCCAUAAGACACGGAAUUCAUCAAAUAUUUCACAAUUUCCGACGUAAGAGAUUCGAUCAGUAUUUUUAUUCUAGUCUCAAUCCAGUCAUAAAUUUAAGGAAUGACACAAACAAGAUAGAUUAACAUAGCACAUUUAAAGCAUGUUGUGUAUCUAAGUCUACCUAGACAUAAACAUGAAUUCACCUACGUAUAGACUUUCGUCACCUCCUGCGUACGUAGCACCCAAAACGAGUAGCACACAACAAUUAGCACACCUACGGGGAUAAUUUGCUUUCACAAGAUUAGGCAAGAAACUUGCCUCGUUUCCAAGCUCACUACUUAUCGCUCCAACCUCACUAAUUGCCUCAAAUCAAUGUUGAGCAAUCCGAAACUAGCCAAAGGUCAUGCAAACCAAUCAAUAUGCUCAAAAGUUCAUAAUUUAUCUAUUAGAGUAACUUUCCAACCCCAUUCGGAAAGUCAACAAAAGUCAAUCCCGGGCCUAGGUGCUCGGAUUUCGGAAAUUUCUGAAGAUAAACAUUGCUCCUUACAUUACGAACUCAAAUAUAUAAUUUAUUCUCAAAUCUUUAAUCAAUUUUAUAGUCAAAGCCCAUUUUUACUAAACCCUAGGUUCUUCAACAAAAAUCCUAAAAUUCCACAAUUUCUAUGUUAAAAUCUACCC
rnacentral:lncRNA from 1 species